CAGAAAGUUUCGCGUCUGUGGCCCAUAACUGUUACGACUCUUUCUUCUUCCCAUUGACGCCGUCUCGGUGACCUCUUCGCCGGCGCAAGAGAAACGGCUCACCUCGCCUUCAAUCCGGCAUUUAUUCUGAGCUUCUCUGUUAGUGUAAUCAACCCUUUUCUUUAAGAGUGCUAUCAGCCUCUUCGUUUCCAUUAAAACCGACGCCCUCUCUCACUAUAAAUAUGACCCUUUCUGCCAUCCGCAGACCUUCUCGCACCAAAUUUCAAACCAAGCCAAUUUCGAUUAAGAGAUUCCGAUGGCCAAUUCAUACACUGUUCUUGCUAACCUCAGAGCCGGUAGAUGCUCUAACAAGGUGGAGGUCCGUCUGCUGCGGUUCUGGGAUGCGAAAAACAUCAAAGGUGGAAAACUGAUCAGCCUCGAGAUGUUGUUGAUUGACGAAGAAGUAGGUUACUUUUUCACUACUCUGAGCCCGCUUUCGAUUUUCCUUGUCUCCCCUCUCAAUCCUGUUCUGAUUGCAAUUAUUUUUCUUUUUUAAUUAGUUUCUUUCAGUAUCUUCGAUUUCUAUCUCCUUAUGUUUAUUGUUUAAGUGGUCGGACUCCGACUUCACCCGGAGCAAUUUCGGUUUUCGUCUGUCCUAUGCCCAUGUUUCCGUUCGCUUCAAUGAUGGCACGUCUUUCACUGAAAGAACCGAUUCAGUUAAGUCAAUACCAAUUGAAAUGUUCCGGAAUCAUACGAGCUAUUGUCAUUUUUAAAUACCUUGACGAGAGUUUAAUGUUCUAUCAGGUUUACUUUUGAGUGGAUUGUCUUCCUCUGAGCACAGUUUUCGAUUUGGAUCAAUGUUACUCCAUCCCAGCAUAUCUGUUAACCUCCAUCACCUUGGGUUAUUCAUCUGCUAAUUCUGAAAGAUAAUUUACAUUUUACUAAUUCAGCCCCUUCUUUUUGCUGUUGAUGAUACUGUGAUCAUGCAGUUUAUGAAUGGUACUGGGAGACACGUAGGAAUCAGAGUGGACUACUCAGCUGCUUCCUGGUUAAACACUUAAGUUUAUUUCAAUGAGGUAACAUUAUAUUGUCUGAUAGAACAUCAAGCCAAAUGUGGCUGUUAGGGAUAGAGCGUACAUAGUCGAUUCAGCAAAUUAUCUAACCAAACCAUUUUUUUCUAUGUACUUCGGUGUAGCCUAUUUGCUUUGGUUAUCUGAAUAUGAAAGGCGGUAAGCCUUCCACUUUUAAAAAUAUAUCAAUCUUAUUCAGUGGUCUCAUGCAUUUGUAUAAUUGUAUUUGUUCAAGCUAUGCUCAGGGAGAGAAGUAAUCAGUUCAUUGUCGAAGCUUAUAUCAAAGGUCUUGACCACGUCGAUCUUGAGGCAUCAUCAUGUCCACUUUGGCUCAAGUUUGAGCAAGCACUGAGUUCUAUGGAGAACCCAAGCGGUAUCAACGUUGAUAACCGCAACAAAUUUGUUUUGGUUUUCAUUUUCUUUUCCUUACUGAUUUUAUUUCAUCAUUGAUAUAGGAAGCUGAUUUAUUCUAUGAUACCAUUGCCUAUACGUACUUACACUCUGGUGAAGAAUAAAGGGUUUAGCUUGGAUUCGUGUGUUUGUGACUCAUUUUUUAUUCAAAGCGCAAACCUAUGCAAGUGUUUGAUCCUAAUACAAUUGACCUAGGAUAGGUUACUACUUCCGGUAGACAAAUCUGAUAAAGUGACCUGCACAAAGCUACAAUCAUUCAUAGAAGAACUCAAGCAGCCUCUCUACUUCACCACUCCUAUGGCGAUUGUGGUCAUUACCAAGUUAACCUUUCAGAACAUCUCAAUGGUGAUGGUGGAUCAUCUUGGAAACCUCGCUGUUACCAUCGCCUCUCUCAGCUCCUCCUUUUGCAAUAUCAUUGGCUUCAGUUUUAUUGUAAAUAUUUUUAUCUUUCCUUUUAUCUAAGUUACAAGAACCUUGGAAACUGCACCUCCAUUCACUUGAUUUUUUUUUAAAUGUAUACAAGUGGUUUUUCUUCUACGUGCAAUCUUUGAUUGGCAUUCUUUUUAUUAGUUAAACUAAUCACUUGCAACAUUUGGUUUUGGUAAGGUUAACGUUCUAUAUCAAACCUUCACCGAAAUGGGCAUACACUUACGGUUUACAACCAUAUGUCUAAAACAUGAUGGUGGAUUCUCUGGCUCACCCACUUUCUUGCAUAUCAAGUAAGUGCUCCUUUUUAUAUUAAUUCAAACCAUAUAUUAAGGUUUUUUUUUUUGAAACACUUUUUUUAAACACUCCAUAUAUUAAAGUUUAUGUCAUACAUAUUCUUAUAAUUAAUAUUCAUUAUUUGUUCAUA